CCGGCUUCAACCGGUUGUCUUUCUUUCGCGUCACCUUGGCGGAGGUCAGACAGUGGGAGGCGGCCGGGAUCCGGGGUGUGCUUCCAGAAUGUCUCUCGUAACCUCAAAACUGUUGCUAGAUCUGGAGCAGUGCUCAAGAUAUAACACCCAAUGUCUGACAAGAAAGGAGACUACAGAAAAAGAUGUAGACAUUUAUUUCUAAGUGAAAAACUCAGUAAUUUUAUUUGCUCAGAGGUGGCUGUGAAUCUAUGAAGGGAAAAUACAGCAUGAAAAAUUUUUUUUUUAAAAAAUCAAGAAGUCAGCAAGGUGGUGUUUAGAUGACCAUCUAUGUGGCGCACAUGCCAUCCCAGCUCGAGAGAAGAAUCUGGGCCAAGCUUAGCUUUUCCUGGUGGAAAGACCUACAGUAUUUUCUUUGAAGCCAAAUUCAUAUGAAAUGUGCUCAAUAGUUGUCAUUUGAUUAUGUAAGGCAAUCACGGUAUAACGAAUCACUACACCGAUCACUGAAAGGCUUCAACGUAUCUGCUUGCUGAUGGUCUUUAUUGAGGUCAGCAUUUUCUUUUUUGACAAAACAUCCUGGGGAAAUUGUAAUGGUUUAAUUCUUUUUUUCUGCUCUAUUUAAGAAUAGUGCCAUCAUGUGUCAAUUCUAAAGAUGACGUGAUUAAUAAAGCUUGAAUCCUGGAAAAGAAAAUCAUUUUGGAGCAAAAAAAUCAAGUAAAAGAAUGGAAGUGCAAAGCUGAUUUAAUACGAGAACAUUCUUUAGUUUAAAGCA